CUUGACGGCAAGUACAAUAACAAGUAUAACAGCUAGAAUGAGGAGAAGUAAGAAGGAAAAGAGUAGAAAUAGGCAACAACAACAACCUUUAAAUGAAGCUUUAGAUGAUGAAGAAGAAGUAGGAUGAGGGUAAUAUUGAGGAUGAUGGUGGGUGCCAUUAAUACCAUUUUGAGUUAAUCUUGAGGUCAUAUUGUUUUUUGUUGUUGAAGAUGAAGAAAGAAUUAGAAUAAGAUUGAAG
rnacentral:misc_RNA from 1 species